rnacentral:rRNA from 1 species
UACGAGAGGACCGGGAUGGACAUACCUCUGGUGUACCAGUUGUCGUGCCAACGGCAUAGCUGGGUAGCUAUGUGUGGACGGGAUAAGUGCUGAAAGCAUCUAAGCAUGAAGCCCCCCUCAAGAUGAGAUUUCCCAACUUCGGUUAUAAGAUCCCUCAAAGAUGAUGAGGUUAAUAGGUUCGAGGUGGAAGCAUGGUGACAUGUGGAGCUGACGAAUACUAAUCGAUCGAAGACUUAAUCAAAA